CGCGAUGUAGAGGAGCGGCUGUCCUCACUGAGCGCAUAACUCAGAAAUCGCAGGUUCGAAUCCUGUCGUCGCCACCA
rnacentral:tRNA from 1 species